UACGUAGGGGGGCAAGCGUUGUCCGGAUUUAUUGGGCGUAAAGCGCGUGUAGGCGGCUUGGUAGGUCAGCUGUGAAAACUCGAGGCUCAACCUCGAGCUGUCGGUUGAAACCACCUUGCUAGAGUCCGGAAGAGGAGAGUGGAAUUCCUGGUGUAGCGGUGAAAUGCGCAGAUAUCGGGAAGAACACCCGUGGCGAAGGCGGCUCUCUGGGACGGUACUGACGCUGAGACGCGAAAGCGUGGGGAGCGAACAGG
rnacentral:rRNA from 1 species